AUUUCCUCACUCCAGGAGCCUAGAAGCCCCCAGCUAGGCCAGCUUUUCUUCUCCAGAAGUGCCAGGAGAUGAAGGUCUCCAUGGCCACUGUCUCUGGCCUCCUCUUCCUCAUCACCGUCACCCUAGAGACCAAGACUAAAUCCUCCUCAUUACUCUUGGAUUGUGGAAGAAGCUGGCAAUAUGGGCUUUAAUGAGAGGCCCCACCUCAGUGUCCCCAACAUUUUUCCUCAGGAGGCCCUUUCCACCCAGUGGAGUGCUGCUUCUCCUAUAUUACCCAAGCUGUCCCACGUCAUCAAAUCAUGGACUUCUAGGAAAUGAACACUUCAUCGCCAAAAAGGGCCAUUCUAUUUGUGCUAAUCCCGAAAGUGAGUGGGCCCAGGACUACCUGAAGGACCUAGAGGAGAACUGAGGGAUCCAGAAGUUCCAGAGGGGCACAGCUUGGUGACCUAAAGAGAAGAAAAAAGGCCAAGGCUUCCUUCACUGGCCCCCCAGCCCAGAGUUACCCUCCACAAGCUGCCCUACUUUGAAUUAACCACAAUUCAUGUCUUUCCCUGCCCUCAUUCAUUUCUAGUGAAUUUAUCCACUGGCAGUAGACAUGGGAUACAGUGAGCCCAGCGUGGAGGUGGCACUCUUAGCCUCAAGCCUCACUGUGUAGAACUUUUACCAGAUCUUGGUGGAAAAAGAAAAAAAGGUCAGGCCUGUGCUGGAGGUAGUGGGAAGCUAAGCAGAGUGUGGGAAAGACAUGGAGGGUGCAAGUCACCCCUACCCACAUUAACAACAUGUAUCAUUCUGUUAGUGCUUGGCACAUGCCAAGCACUCUGCUAAGCAGU